CUACGUGCCAGCAGCCGCGGUAAUACGUAUGUCACGAGCGUUAUCCGGAUUUAUUGGGCGUAAAGCGCGUCUAGGUGGUUAUGUAAGUCUGAUGUGAAAAUGCAGGGCUCAACUCUGUAUUGCGUUGGAAACUGUAUAACUAGAGUACUGGAGAGGUAAGCGGAACUACAAGUGUAGAGGUGAAAUUCGUAGAUAUUUGUAGGAAUGCCGAUGGGGAAGCCAGCUUACUGGACAGAUACUGACGCUGAAGCGCGAAAGCGUGGGUAGCAAACAGGAUUAGAUACCCUGGUAGUCCACGCCGUAAACGAUGAUUACUAGGUGUUGGGGGUCGAACCUCAGCGCCCAAGCAAACGCGAUAAGUAAUCCGCCUGGGGAGUACGUACGCAAGUAUGAAACUCAAAGGAAUUGACGGGGACCCGCACAAGCGGUGGAGCAUGUGGUUUAAUUCGACGCAACGCGAGGAACCUUACCAGCGUUUGAC
rnacentral:rRNA from 1 species